UACGAAGGGGGCUAGCGUUGCUCGGAAUGACUGGGCGUAAAGGGCGCGUAGGCGGACUGCACAGUCAGGCGUGAAAUUCCUGGGCUUAACCUGGGGACUGCGUCUGAGACGUGUGAUCUAGAGUGAGGAAGAGGGUCGUGGAAUUUCCAGUGUAGAGGUGAAAUUCGUAGAUAUUGGAAAGAACACCGGUGGCGAAGGCGGCGACCUGGUCCUUGACUGACGCUGAGGCGAGAAAGCGUGGGGAGCAAACAGG
rnacentral:rRNA from 1 species